rnacentral:rRNA from 1 species
GGGCCCGCACAAGCGGUGGAGCAUGUGGUUUAAUUCGAUGCAACGCGAAGAACCUUACCAGGGCUUGACAUACUGCGAAUCUUUUUGAAAGAAAAGAGUGCCUUCGGGAAUGCAGGUACAGGUGGUGCAUGGCUGUCGUCAGCUCGUGUCGUGAGAUGUUGGGUUAAGUCCCGCAACGAGCGCAACCCUUGUUUUUUAGUUACCAAAUUCGUUGGGGUUUUUCUAGAAAGACUGCCGGUGACAACCGGAGGAAGGUGAGGAUGACGUCAAGUCAGCAUGCCCCUUAUGUCCUGGGCUACACACGUGCUACAAUGGCUAGGACAAAGAGUCGCGAGUUCGCAAGAGC